rnacentral:rRNA from 1 species
CACAUGCAGUCGAACGGUGAAGCACGAAGCUUGCUCUGUGGAUCAGUGGCGAACGGGUGAGUAACACGUGAGCAAUCUGCCCCUGACUCUGGGAUAAGCGCUGGAAACGGCGUCUAAUACCGGAUACGAGCUGCGACCGCAUGGUCAGUAGCUGGAAAGAAUUUCGGUCAGGGAUGAGCUCGCGGCCUAUCAGCUUGUUGGUGAGGUAAUGGCUCACCAAGGCGUCGACGGGUAGCCGGCCUGAGAGGGUGACCGGCCACACUGGGACUGAGACACGGCCCAGACUCCUACGGGAGGCAGCAGUGGGGAAUAUUGCACAAUGGGCGAAAGCCUGAUGCAGCAACGCCGCGUGAGGGAUGACGGCCUUCGGGUUGUAAACCUCUUUUAGCAGGGAAGAAGCGAAAGUGACGGUACCUGCAGAAAAAGCGCCGGCUAACUACGUGCCAGCAGCCGCGGUAAUACGUAGGGCGCAAGCGUUAUCCGGAAUUAUUGGGCGUAAAGAGCUCGUAGGCGGUCUGUCGCGUCUGCUGUGAAAACCCGAGGCUCAACCUCGGGCCUGCAGUGGGUACGGGCAGACUAGAGUGCGGUAGGGGAGAUUGGAAUUCCUGGUGUAGCGGUGGAAUGCGCAGAUAUCAGGAGGAACACCGAUGGCGAAGGCAGAUCUCUGGGCCGUAACUGACGCUGAGGAGCGAAAGGGUGGGGAGCAAACAGGCUUAGAUACCCUGGUAGUCCACCCCGUAAACGUUGGGAACUAGUUGUGGGGUCCAUUCCACGGAUUCCGUGACGCAGCUAACGCAUUAAGUUCCCCGCCUGGGGAGUACGGCCGCAAGGCUAAAACUCAAAGGAAUUGACGGGGACCCGCACAAGCGGCGGAGCAUGCGGAUUAAUUCGAUGCAACGCGAAGAACCUUACCAAGGCUUGACAUAUAGAGGAAACGUCUGGAAACAGUCGCCCCGCAAGGUCUCUAUACAGGUGGUGCAUGGUUGUCGUCAGCUCGUGUCGUGAGAUGUUGGGUUAAGUCCCGCAACGAGCGCAACCCUCGUUCUAUGUUGCCAGCACGUAAUGGUGGGAACUCAUGGGAUACUGCCGGGGUCAACUCGGAGGAAGGUGGGGAUGACGUCAAAUCAUCAUGCCCCUUAUGUCUUGGGCUUCACGCAUGCUACAAUGGCCGGUACAAAGGGCUGCAAUACCGUGAGGUGGAGCGAAUCCCAAAAAGCCGGUCCCAGUUCGGAUUGAGGUCUGCAACUCGACCUCAUGAAGUCGGAGUCGCUAGUAAUCGCAGAUCAGCAACGCUGCGGUGAAUACGUUCCCGGGUCUUGUACACACCGCCCGUCAAGUCAUGAAAGUCGGUAACACCUGAAGCCGGUGGCCCAACCUGCUUAGUGGAGUGAGC